rnacentral:rRNA from 1 species
UGCCCUACGGGACGCAGCAGUAGGGAAUAUUGCUCAAUGGGGGAAACCCUGAAGCGGCAACGCCGCGUGGAGGAUGAAGGUUUUCGGAUUGUAAACUCCUUUUGUUAGAGAAGAUAAUGACGGUAUCUAACGAAUAAGCACCGGCUAACUCCGUGCCAGCAGCCGCGGUAAUACAGAGGGUGCAAGCGUUACUCGGAAUCACUGGGCGUAAAGAGCGCGUAGGCGGGAUAGCAAGGCAGAUGUGAAAUCCUAUGGCUUAACCAUAGAACAGCAUUUGAAGCUGUUAUUCUAGAG